UUCAGCUGUGUGAGGACAUCGCCC
rnacentral:siRNA from 1 species